rnacentral:ncRNA from 1 species
CCCUCGGACCUGCCCCCGGGAUGUUCUUCUCCAAGCCUGAGGUGGACCUAUAAAGUUAAUGUGGUGGGACUUUAACUUUACAACUUAUGGUGAAAUUCUGGUGUCCCACCCAUUAAUACCUGUACUUGUAUGCAAUAUGUUAGCAACAGUACAUCCAAAAUAAGGAAAACUGAAAAUUAUUCUGCAGUUUAAAGAUAAUUUAAAUGCUCCUUCUUCUGGGGAGGAGUGCUUUUAUUAGACCAAAACCAAUCGGACCUCGUGUCCAUAUUAUGUGGUGACUCUGUAUAAAUUUGGGCUGAUCACAUGGGCUCGUCCCAGCAAUGUACCUUUAAAGUGUCUGCCUUAUCAACUACUGAUAGUAGGUUACGCACCUACCAUGGUCAUGACAGGGAAUCAGGGUUCAAUUCCGGAGAGGAAGCCUAAGAAACAGCUACCACAUCCAGCACGCACGCAAAUUACCUACUCCCAGAAUGGGGAGGUAGUGACGAAAAAUAACAAUACAGGACUCUUUUGAGACCCCGUAACUGGAAUGAGUACUAAAUCCUUUAACGAGGAUCGAUUGGAUGAAAACUCUGGUGCCAGCAGCCAUGGUAAUUCCAGCUCCAAUAGCGUAUAUUAAAGUUGCUGCAGUUAAAAAGCUCGUAGUUGGAUCUCAGUUCCAGCUGGGUGGUCCACCUACCAGUGAUAACUGCCUGUUCUGAACAGCCAGCCGGUUUCCUUUGAUGAUCUUCACCGGUUGUCUUGGGUGACCGGCAAGUUUACUUUGAAAAAAUUACAGUGCUCAAAGCAGGCGUGACGCCUGAAUAAUGGUGCAUGGAAUAGGACCUAUGACUACUGAAAGUAGAAGCAACAGAAUGUUGUAUAAAUCCAAAAUAAUUUAAGGAAAUGGUUUUUUCAAUGUUUUCAUAAAAUGUGCAUUUUACGAACUCAUUA